AUGCGGUAUGACGGUACCCUUUCGAAUAAGAGGUUGCUAACUCUGUGCCAGCAGCAGCGGUAAUACAGAGACCUCGAGCGUUAUCCGGAUUUACUGGGCGUAAAGCGUCUGUAGGGGGUUUGUUAAGUUCCAAGUAAAAUCUUAAGGCUCAACUUUAAGUUCGCUUGGAAAACUAAUAAACUGGAGUCCAGCAGAGGUGCAUGGAACUUGCGGUGUAGGAGUGAAAUCCGUUGAUAUCGCAAGGAACACCAAAGGCGAAGGCAUUGCACUGGGCUGGUACUGACCCUGAGAGACGAAAGCGUGGGGAGCAAAACGGAUUAGAUACCCGUGUAGUCCACGCCGUAAACGAUGGAUACUAGAUGUUCGGGGAUUCGACCCCCUGGGUGUCACAGCUGACGCGUUAAGUAUCCCGCCUGGGAAGUACGGCCGCAAGGCUAAAACUCAAAGGAAUAGACGGGGAUCCGCACAAGCGGUGGAGCGUCUGGUUUAAUUUGAUAGUAAGCAAUGGACCUCACCAAGGUUUGACAUCCUAUGACAACCCUGGAAACAGGGCUUCCUUCGGGCAUAGUGACAGGUGCUGCAUGGUCGUCGUCAGUUCGUGCCGUGAGGUGUUCCGUUAAGUCGGGAAACGAACGAAACCCUCGUCGCAUGUUACAAAUUUCAUGCGAGACUGCCCGGGUCAACCGGGAGGAAGGCGGGGAUGACGUCAGAUCAGCAUGGCCCUUAUACCUUGGGCUACACAGGCGCUACAAUGGCCGGUACAAAGGGUUGCAAAACCGCGAGGUGAAGCUAAUCCCAUAAAGCCGGUCCAAGUUCGGAUUGGAGGCUGCAACUCGCCUCCAUGAAGUUGGAAUCGCUAGUAAUCGUGGAUCAGCCAUACCACGGUGAUACGUUCCCGGAUCUUGUACUCACCGCCCGUCACACCAAGAGAGUUGGUAGCUCCUGAAGC
rnacentral:rRNA from 1 species